AGCGAACGCUGGCGGCAGGCCUAACACAUGCAAGUCGAACGAACCUUUCGGGGUUAGUGGCGGACGGGUGAGUAACACGUGGGAACGUGCCUUUAGGUUCGGAAUAACUCAGGGAAACGUGUGCUAAUACCGAAUGUGCCCUUCGGGGGAAAGAUUUAUCGCCUUUAGAGCGGCCCGCGUCUGAUUAGCUAGUUGGUUGAGGUAAUGGCUCACCAAGGCGACGAUCAGUAGCUGGUCUGAGAGGAUGAUCAGACACAUUGGGACUGAGACACGGCCCAAACUCCUACGGGAGGCAGCAGUGGGGAAUCUUGCGCAAUGGGCGAAAGCCUGACGCAGCCAUGCCGCGUGAAUGAUGAAGGUCUUAGGAUUGUAAAAUUCUUUCACCGGGGACGAUACUGACGGUACCCGGAGAAGAAGCCCCGGCUAACUUCGUG
rnacentral:rRNA from 1 species